rnacentral:rRNA from 1 species
UUAGUAACGGCGAGUGAAGCGGCAAAAGCUCAAAUUUGAAAUCUGGUACCUUCGGUGCCCGAGUUGUAAUUUGGAGAGGGCAACUUUGGGGCCGUUCCUUGUCUAUGUUCCUUGGAACAGGACGUCAUAGAGGGUGAGAAUCCCGUGUGGCGAGGAGUGCGGUUCUUUGUAAAGUGCCUUCGAAGAGUCGAGUUGUUUGGGAAUGCAGCUCUAAGUGGGUGGUAAAUUCCAUCUAAAGCUAAAUAUUGGCGAGAGACCGAUAGCGAACAAGUACAGUGAUGGAAAGAUGAAAAGAACUUUGAAAAGAGAGUGAAAAAGUACGUGAAAUUGUUGAAAGGGAAGGGCAUUUGAUCAGACUUGGUGUUUUGUGCCCUCUGCUCCUUGUGGUUAGGGGAAUCUCGCAUUUCAUUGGUCCAGCAUCAUUUUUGUUGCAUGGGAUAA